rnacentral:lncRNA from 1 species
CUGCCAAAAGUGUGUCUUUGAAUACUUACUUUAUAUUACAGCAGCGUGAAGGUGGUCAACAGUCCAAGACUGAGAUGGAAAAGAGUAAGUUACAGAUUUGAAACUUGCGUCUCACUGGUCAUGUGUGGAUGCUGCUUCCUGGCUUACAUGUGUGCAUAUACAAACUAUGUACAAGCUGAAGUGUGAGCCUGGCUGUGCAGACCUAUGCCUUAUAUUUGAUUGAGGAAACACCUUCAAACAAUUAAAAUAUGUUCUAGUCUCCUUAAGAACAGUGCUGACAACUGGAUAUUACAGGAUGAAUGGGACCAUUUUUGUGAUCAAGUAAGUAAAUCUUAGACAUAUUCUUGUGGUAAUCAGCUCUGGUUUUGCACUAAAUCUGGCUUUUAUUU